CCUACGGGAGGCAGCAGUGGGGAAUAUUGCACAAUGGGGGAAACCCUGAUGCAGCGACGCCGCGUGAGUGAAGAAGUAUCUCGGUACGUAAAGCUCUAUCAGCAGGGAAGAAAAUGACGGUACCUGACUAAGAAGCCCCGGCUAACUACGUGCCAGCAGCCGCGGUAAUACGUGGGGGGCAAGCGUUAUCCGGAUUUACUGGGUGGAAAGGGUGCGUAGGAGGCAGGAAAAGUCUGGAGUGAAAUCCCGGGGCUUAACCCCGGAACUGCUUUGGAUACUGUGGGGCUAGAGUGCAGUAGGGGUAAACGGAAUUCCGAGUGUAGCGGUGAAAUGCGUAGAUAUUAGGAGGAACACCGGUGGCGAAGGCGGCUUACUGGACUGUAACUGACGUUGAGGCUCGAAAGCGUGGGGAGCAAACAGGAUUAGAUACCCGGGUAGUC
rnacentral:rRNA from 1 species